rnacentral:rRNA from 1 species
GACAGAGGGUGCAAACGUUGUUCGGAAUUACUGGGCGUAAAGCGCGUGUAGGCGGCCCUGCAAGUCGGAUGUGAAAUCCCACGGCUCAACCGUGGAAGUGCAUUCGAAACUGCAGGGCUAGAGUCCUGGAGAGGAAGGUGGAAUGCUUGGUGUAGAGGUGAAAUUCGUAGAUAUCAAGCGGAACACCGGUGGCGAAGGCGGCCUCUGGACAGUGACUGACGCUGAGA